CGUUAAAACACCGGUUCCCGAACGAUCAGCAAAGUUAAGCAAUGUUGAGGUUGUUUAGUACCUUGAAGAGUGACCGCUUGGGAGUAUUAGGUGUUGGAA